rnacentral:rRNA from 1 species
UUAGGAAUAUUCGUCAAUGGGGGAAACCCUGAACGAGCAAUGCCGCGUGAACGAUGACGGUCCUCUGGAUUGUAAAGUUCUGUUGUUUGGAAAGAAAUGUACUGAUAGGAAAUGAUCAGUAUUUGACGGUACCAUUCAAGAAAGCCACGGCUAACUACGUGCCAGCAGCCGCGGUAAUACGUAGGUGGCGAGCGUUAUCCGGAUUUAUUGGGCGUAAAGCGUCCGCAGCCGGUUUAUUAAGUAUAGAAUUAAAUUUCUGGGCUUAACCCAGUCUCGUUCUAUAUACUGAUAGGCUAGAGUGUGGUAGAGGCAAGUGGAAUUUCUAGUGUAGCGGUUAAAUGCGUAGAUAUUAGAAGGAACACCAGUGGCGAAGGCGGCUUGCUGGGCCACCACUGACGGUCAGGGACGAAAGCGUGGGGAGCAAAUAGG